UUUCUUAGUGUUCCACUUGCAGUACCAAUAUUGAUUUGUGUUGUGACCUAAACUAAGCACUAAUAUCUUAAUCUUCUCUUCAGAUAAAAAAAAAAUGUUGGCAAUGUGCUCAUUAAAAAGGUCACAGUUAAGAUUAUUAUGCAAAGUGUUUUGAUGUGCUUGAGUAAUGAAGAAAUAUAAAGCACUGAAGAACACAAGGUAUCUGGUAUAAAGCCAGCAGAGUGUAGCUACUUUUAACACAUGCCUCUAUCAAGCAGGCUUCUUAGAAAGUAAAUAGAUUGUGCUUGCCAGGUUGUUCAAUUUUUGCUCUAUUUGAGUAAGAUGUAGUUCAACAGUAUGGUGACUGAUAGGUAACAGUUUAUUUAUCUAGAAACUUGUGUUUUUAAGGAACCUCGAGUGUUUCAUUGAGAUUGUGCCCUGUAUCAUUGUAUCUCACUGGGUGUCAGCUGCUUGUUCAACUAUGAACUUUGUUUCCCAGUUGUUGGGGGAAAUAAUAGGACUUUAAGCAGAUGUGACAUAGGAGCUUCCUCAUCUGUGAUGGAAAAGUGGGAAGAAAAAAAGAAGUAAAAAACAUUUACUACUAUGUUUACUACUUGGCUGAUGCCUCAGGAAGAUGGAUGGAUGUGUGAAGCUCAUCUGCUACUAACUUGGUAACUUUAAAUGUUGAUGAGACUCAGUUAGGAAGUCUUCUGUGUAAGGAGUUGCACAAAGAACACGCUCUGUGCUGUUCCCCCUGCAGAUGAAGUUUUGGACGAGAACGUAGUAUUUUGGGAGAGCGCUCUGCUCCUCGGACACAGCCUUCCCUCACAGGGUGAGUUAAAUAGACGUUGGACUGCAGGAGUUCUACACGUUCGGUUUCAGCUCUUUUAAAUAAAAUGUAAAUCCUAGGAGAACGAAGGCCACAAAUCUCCUGGAUUUCCUGAGCUUCGCAGGAAUAUGCUGUCUCCUCUUGGGACCACAACAUAUGGGCAGAGAUGUGGCUCAGUUUGCAGUAAGCUUCCGCUUCUGAAUGGCUUGCCGUCCCUGACAGAUCCAAGGGAACUAUUUGACCUCCCUGCAUGUGCCUUUCAGUCAGUCCUCCUCAGUGUGCUGCUGCGGGUAGAGCAGACAUGAGAAUUUGAGUAGGAGCACUUUAAAGCAGUUCACGAUGAUAGCAUAUUCUCCCGUCUGAGGAGAACGAGGCUAGGAACAAACAUAAAGACUGCAGAAAGGAUGAAGUGAGAAGACUGCAGAAAGGAUGAAGUGAGAGAUCUCGGAGAGCUUGAUUAGGAAGGAAAGUUCUCUGCCUGUGGUUCAGAAGGCACAGAAGCUGAAAUACAGU